rnacentral:misc_RNA from 1 species
GAUGAAGAACGCAGCGAAAUGCGAUAAGUAAUGUGAAUUGCAGAAUUCAGUGAAUCAUCGAAUCUUUGAACGCACAUUGCGCCCGCCAGUAUUCUGGCGGGCAUGCCUGUCCGAGCGUCAUUUCAACCAUCAAGCCCCCGGGCUUGUGUUGGGGACCUGCGGCUGCCCGCAGGCCCUGAAAACCAGUGGCGGGCUCGCUGUCACACCGAGCGUAGUAGCAAUCACCUCGCUCAGGGCGUGCUGCGGGUUCCGGCCGUUAAACCACCUUCAUAACCCAAGGUUGACCUCGGAUCAGGUAGGAAGACCCGCUGAACUUAAGCAUAUCAAUAAGCGGAGGA